GCAACAACAAAUUAGAAAAGAAGAAUUGAUGUUGAACUUCUGAGCAAUGGAUUCUUAAUUUCCUGGGCCUGGAGCCGGCCUAAUUAACAUGUCAGGUGGGAACUCGUGGCACUGGCUGGCCGUGGCUAUUAGGAAGAUGACCGGAGCAGGGAGCCCAAGGAACCAUUCUUGGUGCCACUUAUAAAGAAUGAAGGCUCUCACUGGGAGACAGAAAAGUUGGGGCUGAGACCAAGAUGGCUUCUUGUCGCGGCCGCUGCAGUGGUGAGCAUGAGACCAGCUCAGUGCUCAGUAACCCGGAG